rnacentral:lncRNA from 1 species
UAAGUGUUGCGCUCCAGGUAUACAACAUUUUCUCCUCUUUUUGUGAACAUAAAGUGUUUUUCUUUCAACUAAGGAAAUAUGUCUAAUGUAACGUGUAGUCUUUGAAUGUUAGCGACUCUCUUGUUACUAUUUAAUUCAUACAUUAUUUUUAAAUUUUUUGUAAUAUGAACAUUAUCCGUCGUUAAUAAUUACUGAUGUAGUAAGAUUGUGUAAAAAAUGGGAAGGAUGCCUCUGCAGCAAAGUAUUUUUUUGGCUUUCCUGUGAUCAAACAAUGUAGGAAGACAAUGCAACAAAUGGGAAGAAAUACGAAGCUUCUUGAUUGAUGAAUCAAUCAUUAAAUAUGCAGUUCUCUCAAGAUAACCGUAUCUGCGACCGUUUUGGAAGAGACACUCUAUGGUUCAGUUACAAUUCGCCAACUUUCAUUGGGACAACUUGUAUCUAAAAGGGUUGAGAAGCAAUGUGCACAUUCCUAUUUAGUUACAAUCACGGUUACAAUCACAUAAGAGGAAGCAAGAGUUGGAUUUUUUUGACGAGUGCAAUCAUCAUACAAAAUCAAAUGCAAGGUUCAAUUUUAAUCUUCUGCCAUUGAUUGAUUAAGGUUGGAUGCUAGUUAUGCUCAACUUACCGAUCUCAAGAUUUUUGUUUUUGCUAUAGGUAGAAUGACUUUGUUUGCAAUUAUUUUUGAAAUAUAUGAUCUAACUGAAUCUCAAAUUUAAAAGUACUUUGAAUUUACUAGAGUUUCAGUCAUGUUAUUUAUCUACUUUAUGAGAUCAUUAUUUCUUUACAAUAGCUCCCCAACUUUGAGAAAUUUCAUAUGUCCUGAAUAUGUUUAAAAUUUUGAAUAAGUAGGAAGACCAUGUCUUUUAAUUAUAAGUAUAUUAGAUUUAUAAAUGAUAUUUUUUAAUGUUGUUGAAUAAUAUCUUUCCAGUUAUUAUAUUUCGACCAUGAAGAAAAUAUGGACUAAGUGUUGCGCUCCAGGAUGCCUCUGCAGCAAAGUAUUUUCUUGGCUUUCCUGUGAUCAAACAAUGUAGGAAGACAAUGCAACAAAUGGGAAGAAAUACGAAGCUUCUUGAUUGAUGAAUCAAUCAUUAAAUAUGCAGUUCUCUCAAGGUUAGUCGUGUAACACUUGUAAAUUUAAUUUCUUUAAUCACCACAACAUCUCUCUUUAUUCAUCUUUUACCAUUUGUUUUAGUUCUUUUAGAUAUUGAAUUUUGUCGUCAAAAUAUAAUCUCUUUCGUAUGUUUUAUUUAUUUAUUUAUUUUUUUAUCGAUUGUCUUUUGGGUUUAUAACUUUUGAGUUUUUUCUUUUUAUUUUAUUGAGCUAUGUCUACUAUUUGCCGCGAAAAAGAGAUUUUAGUUUAAAUGGUUACAUGUUUGAUAAAUUGGAAGUUUGAACUUGUCCAUCGCUGUCCCUUGUUGCGUAACAAAAUAUUUGAACAUAUUUGGUAUUAAAUAAGGUAAAUAUAAAGUAUUGGGAAGACCCUUGUCACGAAAACGAGAUAUUAGCCUAUAUGGUUACAAAGUUUGAUAAAUGGGAAGGUUGAACAUGUCCCUUGAUUUAAAUUUGAUAAAUGGGAUGUUUGAAAUUGUCUCUUGAUGUCGUUUGAUG